AGAGCUCUACAAGAGAACGGAUAGAAAAAAUGAAAGAUUUUUCCAUCCCUUCCUGUAGACUGUCACAAUCUAAUGAAAAUUAGGCUUCAGAAUGCACAAAAUCUGAUACCCAUCAGCAUAAAUUUCUGAGCUUCGAGUUUAAAAGGAGAUGGCUAUUAAUCGGAGAAAAUGGGGCAUAUAUUCUCUGCUUCAGAUAAGAAAUGCUCCAUCGUGCAAAAGCAGAUUCAAAGGAUGAUAUAUAAUUGAAGGAAUCUCAUUCACUCGCUUGCUAUAAAUCAUCUAUGGUGGCUUUAACAAGUGGCAAGAAUCAACAGAAGUCGAGAAAGCUUAAUAGAAAAAUACCCCAUUUGCCUCAAUCGCCAUGGCAUCUCUGCAAAUCCAAAAACCUGAAGAGGAAAAUGGACCCAAAGAACAACACCAGGUGCAGCACCAUGAAUCAAAUGACACAGUUUGCCAUGCAAAGAAUGAAAUAAAAGUGAAAGACAAGAAGGAAAAUAAGGAGAAGAAAGAGAAGAAAGAGAAGAAAGAGAAAAAAGAGAAGAAAGAGAAGGAAAAGAAAGAAAAGAAUGGAAAGAACGACGGUAAGAAGAAAGAGAAGGAUGGGCACAAGAAGAAGAAGAACAGCAGCUGUAAUAAUAAUGACUGAACUGAAGAAUUGCUGAGGAAACAAGGAUCUAAUCAGCUCUUUUGUUUCUUCAACAUUUACAAGAUUGUCAAAAUAGAGUGCCUGGAAAAAUAAUCUACAAAUAAAUGAAGAAUAGAGAAACAAAUGGAAAAAAAUUAUCUUGAUACACAAAUAAGAGUGACUUAAUGUUGGCUUGCAGUGUCCUAUACGUGACAUGAUGUUCUGUAAUGUGUUUCAUGAAUAGUAAAGACUGUUUACGUAUAUAUAAAACACUAAUCCUUGAUGGGUUUUUAUACAA